rnacentral:rRNA from 1 species
GAUAAACGCUGGCGGCGCACAUAAGACAUGCAAGUCGAACGGACUUAACUCAUUCUUUUUAGAUUGAGAGCGGUUAGUGGCGGACUGGUGAGUAAUACGUAAGCAACCUGCCUAUCAGAGGGGAACAACAGUUAGAAAUGACUGCUAAUACCGCAUAUGCCAUAAUCACCACAUGGUGGUAGUGGGAAAGGAGCAAUCCGCUGAUAGAUGGGCUUACGGCUGAUUAGCUAGUUGGUGGGGUAACGGCCUACCAAGGCGACGAUCAGUAGCCGGACUGAGAGGUUCAACGGCCACAUUGGGACUGAGAUACGGCCCAGACUCCUACGGGAGGCAGCAGUCGGGAAUUUUGCGCAAUGGAGGAAACUCUGACGCAGUGACGCCGCGUGCAGGAAGAAGGCCCUCUGGGUUGUAAACUAUUGUCGAAGGGAGAAACAAGACAGUACCCUUGGAGGAAGCGUCCGGCUAACUACGUG